UGAUUUGAUAUUUAAAAAAACAAGUGUCGAGGUUACAAGGAAAAUGGAGAAAAAUGAGUAUCGUGCUGUCAUAAAGUAGCUUCAUUUGAAAGGCAUGACUCCAUCAGAAAUCCAUGAAGAUGUGGUGAGAACCUUAACAGACUAUGCUCC
rnacentral:lncRNA from 1 species